rnacentral:lncRNA from 1 species
CGAGCUUGAAAUGUGAGCAUCAAUAGUCCCUGUUCCAAUAGUUUUGAUUAUUAACAAUUCAUGUGACAUGGCGUCCUGCUAUGUUAUCAUCUUCUGAGUGGUUAUCUUUCAUGUCUCCGAAAGGAGAAAGGCUAUGUGUCGUGUUUUCUUUACCAUGCUAACUAAGAACUAAAGAAGCAGAAUGUUUGUCAUCGUGUUAGGAAGCAUAGGUACUUCCUUUUAAGAACCAUACAGUUGUCCCUGCAAAACUAUUAUGUCCAUACACAAAGCCCAUCUUUUUCUGGGUCAGAGAAAAGCCAUGGACAGUUCUUUAUAGAAGUCUUGAUCACUUGAGAAUUUUAUCUGGUGAAGUCGGAUGAAACGGACUUUGGUCAGGUGCUCAAUACCUAUCUUAAGUUGUGCUUUUUGUUACUGUAUUUCUGUAUAUUGAGCAGCUCAUUAUUUGAGCUUUCAUUAUUUCUCCAUGAAAGCUAAAGCAACAAUUUAUUACCAGUAUGUCUUUUUCAUUUUAAAAUAACCUGAAAAUGAGCUGCACCGAUUUAUGUACCAUAGGUCAUCAACGGGGUGAUUGUGCUGGGUCCCAUUUUUCUCAUUCCUGAUAUCUAAUUGGACAGAACGAACUCAAGACAUGUGAAGUUUGAUGUACAAACAUUUGUUCUUCUAUAAAUAAUCUUUGUUUCUACUAUGCUACUGACCCACAGGUUAUUAAAUGGCAUGAAUAGAAAUAUACAUGAUGUGGGGUAAGUAAAGUAAUGAAGUGAGUCUUAUGCUUGCUACUAUUGUUAGUGUGUGUUUGCUAGUAUUCUUAGUGUAUUCAUGACAAUAAUAUGAGUGUGGCAUUACUGAUUCUUCCACAGACGACCUCAUAUAUCCUUAUAACACUAUCUUAUGGACUAGCUGGUAAUUGCAUUGAAUUCUGCUAUCUCAAAUGCAGACCUAAAAGAGCUGACUGUUUUUCUCAUAUUGCUGCAAUGGUAAGACGAUGCACGCCUGCUAAUGAUAUCCUAUUCCUUUUGUCCAGUUUCCUGUGAUUGUUAUUAAGGUCCAGAUUGGCAGGUGUAGGAAGGUGUACUCUAUCUACAUAUGCUUUUGGAUAGUAGCAGACUAUACAAUGCUAGGAAAACAUUGAUCUCAAAGAGAUUCAACAAGUGUUAUGUGGUUAGUGCAUGUUAUUGAACAAAUGAUAAUCUCAAAGACACAGAUUACUUACCAUAAAUUCAAUUGCUGCACUAAUCAGAUAGAUGUAAUAGGUGGUGAGGCAAGCAUCAGAUGAAAACCCGCCAAGUAGAGCGAGAAGGAAGGAAGUUCCCAUAAAGUUGGUAACUAUGUUGGCUGAAGCAGAUGGAGAAAAAUUCAUAUUUUUUGAUAGAUAAAGG